UUGUGGAGGAGGACGCGAAGGUGGGGCUGAUGACUGGGGUGAAGUCGUACAAGGUAGCCGUACCGGAAGGUGCGGCUGGAUCACCUCCUAACAGGGAGACAACAACUGAUUGUGAUGUCUAAGUAAUUAAUUCUUAGGCCACGAUCCUGUCACCUUAGGUCGAUCGGUACCUCAAAUUGAAUACUAAAAAAUUGAGAAAUUAGUUUAUUUAGUUGUUAAUUUCAGUUCCUAAGUUUUGUCUAGGUCACACCCAACAAGGGUACUCCUGGGCCAUUAGCUCAGGUGGUUAGAGCGCACCCCUGAUAAGGGUGAGGUCCCUGGUUCAAGUCCAGGAUGGCCCAUUCGGUGUUGGGGGUAUAGCUCAGUUGGUAGAGCGCCUGCUUUGCAAGCAGGAUGUCAGCGGUUCGAGUCCGCUUACCUCCACUGACCGACCAUCCUUAAACAACGAAAAAGGAGACUUUUUCUUGUUUGGUGUGAUUUAGUAUAAGUUUUAUCUGAAUGAACCUAGCUUCCUAUCAUUCCUAAAUAACUGAAUAGUUAGAUCAGGUUGACAGGACGCUGGGCUCUCUACAUUUAAAAGAAAUGUAGCUCUAGUUCAGUAGAACCUUGAAAACUGCAUAGGUAAGUCUGGAAAGAAUAAAGCAUCUCAUGGAUGCAUUUUCCUUAGAAGUACAUAUGAGGAUGACUAUUUUAAAUAGUUUUCUUUAUCUUCUAAAUGAAUAAUGUUUAAUUCUUGAGUCAAGAGCCGAGACUCUAUAGCGUUAUUUUGAUAUUUUAAAAUUAUCAAAACUUAUCUCUAAUUUAAUCAAUAAAUUGGAUAUAAGAGUAUUAACUACUUGGCGUUAUGGAGAUUAUAUGGUCAAGCUACAA
rnacentral:misc_RNA from 1 species